UACGUAGGGGGCAAGCGUUGUCCGGAAUCAUUGGGCGUAAAGAGCGUGUAGGCGGCUCGGUAAGUCCGCUCUGAAAGCCCGGGGCUCAACCCCGGGAGGCGGGCGGAUACUGUCGGGCUAGAGUCCGGAAGAGGCGAGUGGAAUUCCUGGUGUAGCGGUGAAAUGCGUAGAUAUCGGGAGGAACACCGGUGGCGAAGGCGGUUCUCUGGGCCUUACCUGACACUGAGGAGCGAAAGCGUGGGGAGCGAACAGG
rnacentral:rRNA from 1 species